rnacentral:rRNA from 1 species
UACGUAGGGUGCGAGCGUUAAUCGGAAUUACUGGGCGUAAAGCGUGCGCAGGCGGUUUGUUAAGAUAGGCGUGAAAUCCCCGGGCUCAACCUGGGAACUGCGUUUAUGACUGGCAGGCUAGAGUAUGGCAGAGGGGGGUGGAAUUCCACGUGUAGCAGUGAAAUGCGUAGAGAUGUGGAGGAACACCGAUGGCGAAGGCAGCCCCCUGGGCCAAUACUGACGCUCAUGCACGAAAGCGUGGGUAGCAAAC